UACGGAGGGUGCAAGCGUUAUCCGGAUUCACUGGGUUUAAAGGGUGCGUAGGUGGGUCUGUAAGUCCGUGGUGAAAUCUCUGAGCUUAACUCGGAAACUGCCAUGGAUACUAUAGGUCUUGAAUACCGUGGAGGAUAGCGGAAUAUGUCAUGUAGCGGUGAAAUGCUUAGAUAUGACAUAGAACACCAGUUGCGAAGGCAGCUGUCUACCCGAAUAUUGACACUGAGGCACGAAAGCCAGGGGAGCGAACGGG
rnacentral:rRNA from 1 species